CUUGUACUCCCUCCGUCCGAAAAUACUUGUCAUUGAAAUGGAUGUAUCUAGAUGAAUUUUAGUUCUAGACACAUCCAUUUUGAUGACAAGUAAUUCCGGACGGAGGGAGUACUUG
rnacentral:pre_miRNA from 1 species